CCUACGGGCGGCAGCAGUAGGGAAUUUUGCGCAAUGGGCGAAAGCCUGACGCAGCAACGCCGCGUGAUUGAUUAAGCCCUUCGGGGUGUAAAGAUCUGUCAGUGGGGACGAAACUUGACGGUACCCACAGAGGAAGCACCGGCUAACUCCGUGCCAGCAGCCGCGGUAAUACGGAGGGUGCAAGCGUUGUCCGGAAUCAUUGGGCGUAAAGAGUUCGUAGGUGGCAUAUUAAGUCUGGUGUUAAAUGCAGAAGCUCAACUUCUGUUCGGCAGUGGAUACUGGUAGGCUUGAGUGCGGUAGAGGUAAAGGGAAGUCCUGGUGUAGCGGUGAAAUGCGUAGAUAUCAGGAGGAACAUCGGUGGCGUAAGCGCUGUACUGGGCCGUAAUUGACGCUGAGGAACGAAAGCCGGGGGAGCAAAUGGGAUUAGAUACCCGAGUAGUC
rnacentral:rRNA from 1 species